GCGGCUGCAUCAAUGCCAUUGACACUUCUACGCCACCAACGGGGCUGUUCCCUUCUAUUUUUUUAAAAUAUAUACAAAUAUCGGUUGGAUUAAAACUUGAUAAUUUAAAAACAAGCGAGUGCAUGCCAUCACUAAUGCCAAUGGCUGGCCCGGCAGCAUUGAAGAUAAUUAUAAUAUUUUUGCCCCCCUAAAUUCAAAUGUACAUAGAGCCCAACCGGUUCGUGCCCAAAC
rnacentral:lncRNA from 1 species